ACGGGUGAGUAACACGUGAGCAACCUGCCCCUGACUCUGGGAUAAGCGCUGGAAACGGCGUCUAAUACUGGAUAUGUGACGUGACCGCAUGGUCUGCGUCUGGAAAGAAUUUCGGUUGGGGAUGGGCUCGCGGCCUAUCAGCUUGUUGGUGAGGUAAUGGCUCACCAAGGCGUCGACGGGUAGCCGGCCUGAGAGGGUGACCGGCCACACUGGGACUGAGACACGGCCCAGACUCCUACGGGAGGCAGCAGUGGGGAAUAUUGCACAAUGGGCGCAAGCCUGAUGCAGCAACGCCGCGUGAGGGAUGACGGCCUUCGGGUUGUAAACCUCUUUUAGCAGGGAAGAAGCGAAAGUGACGGUACCUGCAGAAAAAGCGCCGGCUAACUACGUGCCAGCAGCCGCGGUAAUACGUAGGGCGCAAGCGUUAUCCGGAAUUAUUGGGCGUAAAGAGCUCGUAGGCGGUUUGUCGCGUCUGCUGUGAAAUCCGGAGGCUCAACCUCCGGCCUGCAGUGGGUACGGGCAGACUAGAGUGCGGUAGGGGAGAUUGGAAUUCCUGGUGUAGCGGUGGAAUGCGCAGA
rnacentral:rRNA from 1 species